GAGUUUGCUAGGAGAGCUGAGCCUAUCUUCACUCAGGGCUGCUUCGUGCCUCCAAUUGCAAUCAGUUGCUCCAGUCCAGGUUCCCACCUUGUCAUCUGCCACGAUGUCAUGAUGUCACAGUUCUGAGAGGCCCCCCCCACGAAGUCUGAGGGGAUGCAGGCACCAGGCCUUGAACUUCCAAAACUCAGCCUUCAGAUGAAGAUGUAGAACUAACUCUCUCAGCAUCUCCUGCACCAUGCCUGUCUGGACGCUACCAUGCUCCCAUCUUGAUGAUACUGGACUGAACCUCUGAACCGAUUGCAUGGUCCAACGAUGGAGAAACUGGGAACGCAGUGACUCUCCCAUUCCACGAGAAUGUAGACUGUCCCUGUAUGGUCCCAAAAGCCUGGAGAUUUCCUGGAGAAAUCCUUCAUCUCCCGUCUACAUCGGAAGGAUGAAGAAGAUCCAAUCAAGACAGCCAAGAUGAAGUACUGAAAUCCCGACCUGGAUUCUUUGCCUGCAGGAGGAGUGCAGAGAUCAGGGCCCUGCAGGGACGGUGGCUGGACAUGAAAUCAAGCAAGGAGAAAGGGUGGCUCCAAGUUUCCCAGCACCGGUACCCCUGAGAGAGCUUGCAGGCCCAUGUGGAACCAGGAGAAGUGGAAUCCAGGCAGGGCAUCCAGAUUGUGGUAGAAAUGUGGAGAUGUGCUCAGCUGGAGCCUGGGCCUGAUGGGAGGCUGGGAAGUCGUUGAAGAUCUCCUGAUAGUUGGACACAGCCAGAUCACUCCAGCUCCAGGAAUUACUUAAAAGUCUCACCUGCCCAGCACGUCUUUCUGCCUCUGUGAAAGAUGGAAUGAGACCCAGCGAGUGUUCUGAGUGACUUGAUCCAAAAGCUGCAUGUGGUUGACCAGAUGGAUGUCCCUCUCGACUUCAGGUUUCCACUCAACUAAAGCACAAAUGGUUUAUCUUUAAGGAACCAUGUAUUUUCCACUUCUGUGGCAGAGGACAAAAUGUGAAUAAUUUCUAGCGUCCCUCUGUGCAGCAUGAUUGCUGGCACCUUCCAAAGCCCUGAGGACUAGGGACCCUCCCUCAGGUGCAACUAAGGCAUGAACCCUACAAACCCUCUUAGUUAAAGAAGAAGAGCAAACAAAUAUUCAUGAACUCCUCCACUCUUCGGCUGGAAAUGUAGCUCAGUUGGGUUCUUGCCUAGCAGACAUGAAUCCCUAGGCACCACGUAAGACAGACAUGGUGGAGACUACCUGCAAUCCCAUGGCUCAGCAGAUAGAGGUAGCUUUCCUUCUCUUCACUGAUACUUAAAGCUAACACUCACCACUGGUCUCCUAUAAGUGGCAAGUAAACACUGUCAAAAUCUUCUAUUCUCUAAUCACCUAUUGUGUAACUAAGCUGAAGGUGGUUUAUUUUAUUGGCAAAAAUAAAAAUUGAAUGC
rnacentral:lncRNA from 1 species